UGCUUGUAAAGUUCGCAGGUUGCGCGGACCAUUUUACCCGUUUUUUCCCCAAAUAUUUCUUGCCCUUUUCGCUUCCGGACCGGGGCCCGGCCAUUGUUUGUUUGAUGUGAAAACAGAGCAACCAUUUGUAAUCGAUUAAGAUCAAUUAUCUGAAGACGUGAAAUGUCGAUUGUGCCAAGUGUGUGAACAAGCUUCUGCGACUACACCUCCCUGUAUGGUUUCAUCUCGGUCAAUCAACACGGGCACCUGCUUGACUUGAUGUACUGUUUGCCGUAACGAGGAGGAGGACAUUCGACUUAAAAUAGAUUCAUCAUAGCCGUGGUAGCGAAGACCAAUGCCAUCAGUACCCACGUGGUAACACACGAUGUGGUACACCGGUUUGCGAAGGAGGCGGAGAAAGUGAUUUUUCUAACUACUUACUACUUAUAAC